AACAGGGAAGCUAUCGGGAUCAUUGUUGCUGCCCCCCACCCCCACCCCAGAUAUUUUGUUGUGGAAGAAUGACAAACAGGAUGCCUCUGGGGCAUGUUGAAUUAUGCAGAGCUUUGGGAUGAUUCCACAGUGGACUGGGCCAGUGACUGGUAGUUGUGUGAAUCUGGAACUUGGCAAAGAUGUGGGCUGAGACGUCUCCUUCAACUGAAAGCUUCCCAGUUUGCUCUCAGAAUAUCAUCAGAGGCGCAUCCACUCCAAGAAUUUCGGGUUAAGAUUCUUCUAACCUAAUUCAAAACCAGCUGUGCAGACCCAAGAGUCCAGCUUCUGUUGCUUAACAAGGCGAUUCUGGAAGUUAUCAGCUACUGAGGGAUGGUAGAUGGUAGAGGGAGAGUCCCACAAUUGGACAGCAUCGAGGAGAUAGAUGGGAGAAGCACACACCAUCUGCUCUGAGGAUCUUCCGUUGACAGCCUGGCCAGGGUCAUGCUAGGAUUCAGAAAUUGCUGAGUGUGAAAGGGGCCUGAGGGAUGGGUCUGACGAGGGCAUUGGCAGCAAGGAUCAAGAGUUUCCACGGAAUAAUCUCAACACAAGCAGUUCGGGCGAGGGUGGUGGGGUCCUGUGUGAAUUUUCGUACAGCUCCUUGUCAGUCACACCUUGCCCUGCAGGCAGCCUCUGAGGACUUGCGUCAGACCCAUGGAGAAGCAGUUACCAGUGAUCAAGUAUUAAAACUUCAUUAAAGUCUCUGUAAAAAGCCUAGUGGCUUCUUGUGUGUACCUGUGGCUUCCUGCCUUAGAGCUGUUUUCUGUCA